rnacentral:rRNA from 1 species
CCUACGGGUGGCAGCAGUGAGGAAUAUUGGUCAAUGGACGAGAGUCUGAACCAGCCAAGUAGCGUGAAGGAUGACUGCCCUAUGGGUUGUAAACUUCUUUUAUAUGGGAAUAAAAUGUUCCACGUGUGGGAUUUUGUAUGUACCAUAUGAAUAAGGAUCGGCUAACUCCGUGCCAGCAGCCGCGGUAAUACGGAGGAUCCGAGCGUUAUCCGGAUUUAUUGGGUUUAAAGGGAGCGUAGGUGGAUUGUUAAGUCAGUUGUGAAAGUUUGCGGCUCAACCGUAAAAUUGCAGUUGAAACUGGCAGUCUUGAGUUCAGUAGAGGUGGGCGGAAUUCGUGGUGUAGCGGUGAAAUGCUUAGAUAUCACGAAGAACUCCGAUUGCGAAGGCAGUUCACUGGACUGCAACUGACACUGAGGCUCGAAAGUGUGGGUAUCAAACAGGAUUAGAUACCCGUGUAGUC